UACGAAGGGGGCUAGCGUUGCUCGGAAUCACUGGGCGUAAAGGGUGCGUAGGCGGGUCUUUAAGUCAGGGGUGAAAUCCUGGAGCUCAACUCCAGAACUGCCUUUGAUACUGAGAGCUUGAGUUCGGGAGAGGUGAGUGGAACUGCGAGUGUAGAGGUGAAAUUCGUAGAUAUUCGCAAGAACACCAGUGGCGAAGGCGGCUCACUGGCCCGAUACUGACGCUGAGGUGCGAAAGCGUGGGGAGCAAACAGGG
rnacentral:rRNA from 1 species